UACGGAGGGUGCGAGCGUUGUCCGGAAUCACUGGGCGUAAAGGGCGCGUAGGCGGCGCGAGCAGUCUGUGGUGAAAGCCCGUGGCUCAACUGCGGGUCGGCCAUGGAUACUCUCGAGCUGGAGCACUGUAGAGGCAGAUGGAAUUCCGGGUGUAGCGGUGGAAUGCGUAGAGAUCCGGAAGAACACCGGUGGCGAAGGCGGUCUGCUGGGCAGUGGCUGACGCUGAGGCGCGACAGCGUGGGGAG
rnacentral:rRNA from 1 species